rnacentral:rRNA from 1 species
CCUACGGGUGGCAGCAGUGAGGAAUAUUGGUCAAUGGGCGCGAGCCUGAACCAGCCAAGUAGCGUGAAGAAUGACUGCCCUACGGGUUGUAAACUUCUUUUAUAAAGGAAUAAAGUGAGGCAUGUGUGCCUUUUUGUAUGUACUUUAUGAUUAAGGAUCGGCUAACUCCGUGCCAGCAGCCGCGGUAAUACGGAGGAUCCGAGCGUUAUCCGGAUUUAUUGGGUUUAACGGGAGCGUAGGUGGGUUGUUAAGUCAGUUGUGAAAGUUUGCGGCUCAACCGUAAAAUUGCAAUUGAUACUGGCAGCCUUGAGUACAGUUGAGGUAGGCGGAAUUCGUGGUGUAGCGGUGAAAUGCUUAGAGAUCAAGAAGAACUCCGAUUGCGAAGGCAGCUUACUAAACUGCCACUGACAUUGAUGCUCGAAAGUGUGGGUAUCAAACAGGAUUAGAUACCCCAGUAGUC